rnacentral:rRNA from 1 species
GGGGGGGGCAAGCGUUGUUCGGAAUUACUGGGCGUAGAGGGCUCGUAGGCGGCCAACUAAGUCGGAUGUGAAAUCCCCAGGCUUAACCUGGGAACUGCAUCCGAUACUGGAUGGCUUGAAUCCGGGAGAGGGAUGCAGAAUUCCAGGUGUAGCGGCGAAAUGCGUAGAUAUCUGGAGGAAUACCGGUGGCGAAGGCGGCAUCCUGGACCGGCAUUGACGCUGAUGAGCGAAAGCUAGGGGAGCAAGCGGGAUUAGAUACCCCGGUAGUCCUAGCCCUAAACGAUGAAUGCUUGGUGUGACGGGUAUCGAUCCCUGUCGUGCCGAAGCUAACGCAUUAAGCAUUCCGCCUGGGGAGUACGGUCGCAAGGCUG